rnacentral:rRNA from 1 species
AGCAGUAGCCGCGGGAAUACGUAGGGUGCAAGCGUUAAUCGGAAUUACUGGGCGUAAAGCGUGCGCAGGCGGUUUGUUAAGACAGAUGUGAAAUCCCCGGGCUCAACCUGGGAACUGCAUUUGUGACUGGCAAGCUAGAGUAUGGCAGAGGGGGGUGGAAUUCCGCGUGUAGCAGUGAAAUGCGUAGAUAUGCGGAGGAACACCGAUGGCGAAGGCAGCCCCCUGGGCCAAUACUGACGCUCAUGCACGAAAGCGUGGGGAGCAAACAGGAUUAGAUACCCCUGUAGUCCCUGUCUCUUAUAC